UAUGAACGCUGGCGGCGUGCCUAAUACAUGCAAGUCGAGCGAACGGACGAGAAGCUUGCUUCUCUGAUGUUAGCGGCUGACGGGUUAUUAACACAUGGAUAACCUACCUAUUAGACUGGGAUAACUUCGGGAAACCGGAGCUAAUACCGUAUGAUAUUUUGAAUCGCAUUGUUCAAAAGUGAAAGACGGUCUUGCUAUCACUUAUAGAUGGAUCCGCGCUGCAUUAGAUAGUUGGUAAGGUAACGGCUUACCAAGGCAACGAUGAAUAGCCGAACUGAGAAGGUGAACGGCCACAUUGAAACGGAGACAAAGUAGAUACUCCUACAGGAGGGAGCAGCAGGGAAUCUUCCACAAAGGGCGAAAGCCUGACGGAGCAAAACGGCGUGAGUGAUGAAAGUCUUCGGAUCGGAAAACUCUGUUAGUAGCGCAGAACAUAUGCGUAAGUAACUGUGCUCAUCUUGACGAUCCCUACUCAGAAAGCCACGGCUAACUACGUG
rnacentral:rRNA from 1 species